GGUCGACUUUUCCCCGGAAGUGUCAAAAAAACGUCUUUUUUGCUUCAGUUCACUCAGACCAGCGCAGACCCGUCGCUGGGUCCAGGGGCCUGCUCUGCCGGCCCGUCCGUGGUGGGUGCGCCGCGUCACAGCUGCGUGUAGUCCCACUGUGCGCCCGCCUCGCCCACCUUAGGCCGAACCGGGGACGCACGACGCCCGAGUCGAUACCCGGACAGGACGCCGCUGCGGAGCACAACCGUCGGCUUCCCCGAGGCCGUUCUGUUCCUUCUGUCUGGCUUCCACGUAUUCUCUUCGUUUGCAAAAUAGCGACGCUGCGUAACAUUCCCGGAGUAUCUUACUGAACUAACACCCUUCUUGCGCCGACGUGAGAUGAUAAAACGCCUAGGUGGUGACAUGAAGCCCGGGAACAACUGGUGCCCAACCUAACGUCAGGUACUGCUGACCGCGCGCCGGGCCGCUCUGCUUCGGGACCGGGGCUGACCCUGUGAAACUGAAGCCACGGGAAACUGUGGAUGAGGAGACACCGCCAUACUCAGAAAUGACAACUCUUAUUAUUUGCUGAUAAUAAGAAUGAUAGUGCUUGCGUCCAUGGGGAAUUUUCUCAAAAUUUACGUGAGUGAUUCUCAGGGAGGAAGAAAGUCCAUCUGAAAGAGGAGGUAUCAUUAAGUUAAAGAUUUAAUGAAAUCAUCCUGAAUUACUUGGACCCUAAAUCCAAUGAUAAGUGUCCUUAUAAGAAACAGAAGAGGAGAAGGCAACAGAGAAGGAGAAGACGGCCACGUAAAGACAGAGGCCAAGAAGAUAUGAGAAAUGCCAACAGCUACCAGAAGCCAGAAGAUGCAAGGAAGGCUUGUACUCCAGUCUUCCCAGAGGGAGUACAGCUCUGACAACAUCUUGGUUUUGGACUCUGGCCUCCACACUAUGAGGGAAAACUUUUCUGUUGUUUUAAACCACAUGAUUUGUGGUAAUUUGUUAUGGUAACCCUAGGAAAUAAAUACACCACCUUAAUCAAAUGAUCA